CAAGACUUUGAGAAGAGGAUACUCCGCUACGCGCGAUCGGCACUAUCCGCUAUGAAGCCACUUACAUUCAUUUAACAAUGUAGCGCCCCUUGCAAAAGGGACGUGUCACGACCCAAACCGAUGGGCCGCGACGGGCACCCGGUACCUUACUCAACUGAGUAGCAAUGUAACGUAUCUUUCUUAUUACAUCAUCAUAUAAACGUGACAUACGGGCCUAAUAGGCCAAAAUAAUCAUUUAUAAACUCAAAACAUAGGCCGGCAAGGCCGUACAAUCUUUCACGUACACGACAUAUGUCUACCAGCCUCUAAGAAUACAUAAAUGUCAUAUAGGUCGGGACAGAGUCCCGCCAUACCAAACAAUACACAUCUAAAUCAUACUAACCAAAUACGCAACUCCGAAGCAAAUGGAGCGCACCACCAUUUUUCGCAGAGCUGAUAGCCUACUUGGAGGGCUCUCGGCCGGUCUACCAGGGCCUGCGGCCAUGAAACACAGCGUCCCCAGGAAAAAGGAACGUCAGUACAAAAUUAUGUACUGAGUAUGUAAGGCAAUAUACUAAAAGCUGAAACUGAACUGAUAACAUAAUAACUGCAAGUAGUUGGAAGUCAAAGAUAAUCUGAAUAUAUGCUUACCUGCUGAUACUCACUCAAUUCUCUCAAUAUAGUAAGUAAAAUAGCUGUCCGGCCCUAUAAGGCUCGGUAUACAUAUAUAUAUCUGCUCUGCCGUAGUAGGCUUGCUCAUAAGCGCUCGUCCAUACUAGGCUCUGUAUCUCGACCAACUGGGCUCGCUCAUAUGCGCUCGGCCACAGUAGGAUCGGUAUAUAACUUAAAAUCUUAUCAAAGGUUGCCCAAUAGGGGCCUGCCCAUCAAUUAUAGCUCGAUGGUAAUAAAAAUACUUUUAAUACUGUAUAUAUGUAACUUCACUGCUCUCUUGACUGGAAGAAGGAAAUACUCAACUGAAUAUGAAGUCCUGAUAAGAAGAAUGUGGUAAUUUACAAAACUAGAAAAAUAUUAACCUCCUGCAUGUAUUUAAAGUAGUUGUCUAUGAUAACACUUGCAGUACUAAUCAUAUAUGAGCCUUUUUUCAACCUAAAUUUCUUAAUCAUAUGACGAAGGCAGUAGUAUUUCCCAGGAGGUUGCACCUAAUUUUGUGCAUAAGACUAACUUAUAUUGGGUUCUUUAUUUGUUUCACUUCUUUCUAGGAAUAUCAUGGAUACCUUUAAUUGAAAAGGUUUUGUUGUACAUUCAAACAUGAAAUGCAAAUUAACAAUUGGUUUUAUGAACACGCUUCCCGUUAGUAGAGGGAAAAGUAUAUAUACAAGACUACUUGUUUAAAUAGACAAAUACACGUAAAUUCAGGGAUAUCAAUUUUUCUCUAUACCUCUACUUUACCCAUUAUUAAUGUUGACUCCUACAGUACAUUAUUAUGUCCUAUUGUUUCAUGGGAUUAAUUACUCGCCAACUAUUUACAUGUAAGACCUACAAGUAAGAUUUUAACUAGCUUAGAGUGCUGAUUGAUUAAAUAAUAUAUAAUAAUAACCUAUCUAAUUAUGUUAGUGUCAUAUGGAAAAGCUUUCAUUUAUCCUAAGUUGCUGCUAGUACCAAACCUUUCAUUAACCUUAAAAAUUGAACAUUUCCUUAUAUGUCUUGUACAACAUAACGGUAGUAGGAUGUAUUGUUAUCAAACUCAAGUAAUUACGGGGUCAUGCCAAAUGAAAGAAGAGCUUAGCCUUAACAUACCUGUUCUUGGAAUUUAUUUGAACAAUAUUGUUGUUUUUCUUUGAAUUUCCAAUCGAAUCUUGGCUAAAUAAUUUGGACGAAACAACUCUGUUCCAGGUUAUUGGAUUUUAAAAUCCACGGCAGAAUUUUUUUGAUUAACCUAGGGAACUUUGGAUGAACUAGAAAUGCCUCUUGGCUUAAAUGCCAAAGUAUUGCUUCUACUAUUCACGUUAGAUGUUAGAAUGAUGGCCUUUGAUCCUUUAAGUGAAAUGCUUUCUUUUGUCUCAUUUUGAUUUGAUAAAGGUAACCAUAAAGUCUUGAUAAGACUUUCAAAUUGUGCUUUUGACACCUAUUAAAGGUGAUUGAUGAAUCACUUUGAUAAAGAGAGGGGGCUGCCACGUACCUCCUUGAGAGGUGAUUUUUUUGUUAAGUUUAUCCACUUAUUAGUUAAUCGGGUAAUGUUUCGUUACCCGGUAAUUAAUCUAUUACCCGCAUAAUUCAAGAAUUAUCACAAAUUACUUAAAAUUUUAUUUAUUUUUAAAAUACUUCAUAUAUACUUUAUAUAUUACACUACCGUGGUCAUAUGAUAUCUCGCAUGAAAAAGUUCUAAGAUAAAGAAGUCUUUGAAAAAUGGUGAGUUCCACCGUUCUUAGCAAGCCAAAAUCCAAAGGUUUGAGUUUCAAAAAUGAUUUCUAUAGUUUCAAAAUGCAUUCUUUAAGUGUCUUGGUUGGUAGGCCCCAUUUAUAAUUAAUGCUUAGCAAGACUUCUUGCUCCCAAAGUAUGACACCAACGUAGCACACAUAUUAGUCAUAGUUUAGUUUAGUUGUCAUGGUCCCAUGUGGACAAGACAAUUCCUACACUUACCCACUUAAAUGAAUAAUUAACCAAUUAUCUCAAAUUAGUUAAAAUACUACUCAUUUUUAAUACACUUUAUAUACUUUACUAUCAUGGUCAUGUGGUACCUUACAUGGUAGUAUUUAAUAAUUAUCGUGUAUUAUUGCUCGACCCGUAUUUUAUUCCAAAUUGACCACUUUCAAUGAAACUUGUUUUCUUUAAUCUGUGUACCCCCUUAUUCUUCAUAACACUUAUUUAUUGCUUGCUAUAAAUAGCGCAAGUACGUUAACGUCAAGAUGAUCUCAUCCCCGAGUCUUACAUCGGUUAACUGAAAAUAAAAUUUUAACGUACAAUACUUUAGGGUGCAACAUCAUCGUAACUUAACACUGCAAAACGUGAUAUCACCGUAAUGCAUUACUGCGGGACGUGACACCUCACUUCGGGCUCUCAUUAACUUAUUUAUGGCAUAUUUUCAUGUACGAAAAUAUGAGGUGUAACAUCAUUCCCCCCUUUGGAACAUUCGUCUUCGAAUGUUGACUGAUGUGCUUAUUGUUCUCAUAUCCCAUAGCUCUUGCGAAUACUUUAGUAGUCCUUUUGCCAUCUAGGCAACUGUUCUGUGAAUAAGUCCAAAGGUCAGGGUAUUCCCCCCUUUAGGCCUCUUUCCCAUGCCAUGACUUGUGAUCAAAUACUUUCCCAUCUCAUAACUGUUGCUACCUCCCAUCAUGCAGCUCCUACGAUACUGACCAUGUAUGUGUCCUUAUGCAACUCUCCUUUCCUUUUUCCUCUAGUUUUUAGCCAAUCCUGAAUUUCUUUGCUUGGUAUUUUGUCGAACUUACGAAUACUGCUAUAUCUUAUUUUAUAGACAUAGUUAUCCAUUCGUAUGACUUUAGUGGAUCUACAUAGGUCAUACUAUACCAUAACACUUACCUCGAUUUCUCGUUACUGAGGUCUGCUACACAAUCUCAGGUUACUUUCAUUGCUUAUCUCGUAUGUAUAAAUCUAUGUCCUUUAAUGCCUCCACAUUACUGUUCAUCUUUAAGAAUGACGGCCUAAUCUCUUCUCAUACUUUAUAACUUUUACCCAUACAUUAUUGAUUCACCUCAAUUUUGAUCCAUAGUCCACCCUUGAUAACUUAACAUUUUAUGUAAUAUUACUGCUAGGAUUCAUGUUUUAUCGAGGAACAUCUAAAAUGAUUAGAUUGAUCCACCUGGGGCGAUACCCUGCUUUCAUAACCGUAUCUCAUGGCAUCCCAAUGUGAUUUACUUAUGUGGGUAUUUUAAUCUCGUACAAUCCAUGAAAGCCUCUUCAAUCAUUACUCACUCGAAAGCCUAAACGUCAUCCUUUAUCCAUCACAAUUAUACCUUUAUUGUACUAUCAGGGCAGCAUUCCAUCUUUUCUAAAUGCUACUAGUCUUAGAUUUCUUUGAAUUCAUUCAGGCUAUACUGAGCUUUCUAUAACUUAGAGAAACCAUCAGCUCUUCUUGUUUUCAUGGGCUUAAUCCCUGGGACUUAUCCAUUCUCAUCACCUUCUCACUCGCCUUCUCUUAUCCUUAUUCCAGUCUUCCUAAAACCUUGUCGCUAUCAUUCCUGGAUAUUGAAUCACGCGCUUAUAGUCUCUUUUCUGCAGUACAGACUAUUCAUAACUUUCUGUAUUUGAGUAUCUUGUAUGUUGUUCACCUUUUCCUUACUUACUUAAAAUCUCACAUUGUAUCUUCUAUCUCUUUCAUGACCUCCCUUCCACAUAGGUACAAUUCACGUCUACACUUGAAGCUUUAUUAUAAUUUUUUUUACACCUUUGGUGCAUACACAAUCCGGUGGGAGCUUCGUACUGACUUCUUAUGAGGAUGGUACUUCUUCUAACAGGCUUCCUUAUAGAGCCAUUAUAGAUUAUAGUCGUUGUGUUGUUUCUAUUGAACGUCUGCUAUUAAGAGCUAUUCUGUCAUCUUCUCCAGCACAACUUCUAUAAUUUUUCUAGGUCCAAUAAUCAGAUUCCUGAUUUACUUCGGUGAUUUAAUUCUUUAGUUUCCUCUUCCUUCUGAUUAGCCUUUACAUAGGCUUAAGCUAUCUUCCGAUCUAUGGCUCAUGGUAUCAGUUAUUACCUUAACCUUUCAUGGGCGUUAUGGAAUACCCAUAAUACCAUCAUCCAACAAUUCAAUCCUUUUUCUAUAACCUGAACUUAAUUCCUUAUUUACAACUUAUACCAGAGUCUCUUACGGCUAUACGAUUGCCAUAUAUGUGCUCCAUGGAUAAUUUUCUAAAAUCUUGAGUGCAUAAUAACGUGACUAACUUGGGAUCAUUGAUCAAAUAAUUCCUUUCGUUCUUUCUCAUAUUUCUUUUAACGUAAGCUUUUACCUUUCCUUAUCUUUUUUCCUUCUUGUUGCGUGUAUACUUUGCUUAGCUUAGUCUCCCACGCUUGCCGGAAUUUCCGUACAACUCAUAUGAUCUUCGAAUAUUUCUUUUGAUUUUUACUUCCCGUUCACUACCCACGGUAGAUUCAUCUUUCUUAUGGAGGACGUACAAUGUUGUUGUGAAAUUAUUGUUACAAGACCAUUUUCUCUUUAGGUCACUGUGCUUAGGUUGAAGCCUUUUUCCUCAUUUCCUCAGCUAGUCCUUCAUUGUAGUACUUAGGGAAGACCCUCUAACUCUUGUAAAGAUGCGAACUUAUUAUACCGUAUUCCCAAUAGAAUUUUUGAUGUUCGUGCUUGCACAAUAUUCUUGAAUUGUAUUGCAUCUGUAAGAUUUGGAUAAGUGUCAUCUCAUUCCUCUUUCAUUUAUCGCAUUCUUCCUUUAUCAUUCCAUAUUCACUAGAACCACUUAAUUCUGACUUAAUGCCACAUCACUCCAUAUUCCCCCCUUUAGGGGAGUGCUAAGAGUUGGAGCUACGACGACCUGCCUAUAGAUGUUUCACCUUUUCAUCUUUGGCAUCCUUUCACAUCAUCGAUGACCCUUAAUCGCCUUGCAGUAAUCCUUCUAUACCAAUGAAAAUAAAAUUCCUUACUCACGACGAUGACACUUAGUGUAACUGGCUCAUACAUUCCCUUAAGAUUAACUUCGCUUCCAUUGCUUGCUUUAGUGAAGCAUCUUGCUGAAUGAUCAUUCUCAGAAUUUCUCAUGAAUCUUCUUCGGUUGUCCAUUCUAUUACCACCGGAACGAAAUCUAAAAUUACCAUUAUGCUGAGUACUUUCCAAUCAUUCAGUCCUUAAUUCAUAUUUAAUUUAUCGGGUUUACCAGCCCAUACUAAUUUCUAUCACUUUGGGGUCUAACUUUUCUUUUUGGUGAUUACGUCAGAGUUGCCAACUUAUUUUUCGAAGUGGGGAUAUGACUUUAUGGCCUCUAUUCUUUCAUUGUCUCAAGGCCUGUCAUCUUGUCUUUCCCCUCACUUGACUGUAAAUACUUUAAUACUGUCAUCAUUUUUGUUGACCUACCGUUAACAUCCUUGUAUCAUAUUUUACUCAUAAUGCUUCAUUAACUCUAUUCUCAUCUCCCGCUAAUUAUCUAUGUCUACUGCUUUAUUCUAAAAACUCGAACAAAACUUUCUUUUUUCCUUUAGAUCCCUUUGCUCCAUCCCUUUGCUCUUUCAAUUGCCUAGCAUUCUUUCUUUACUGGGGCGGGAGCCACAUUAAGAUAAUAUUAUUCCUUCAAGGCUUAUAGUACAUGUCUUUGUAGUACUCAUAUCUGGCUGCACUAAUUCAGAGUGCACUAUCUAGGUAUCUCCUAAAGAGAUCUAUUAGCACAUUUGAAAUAUUCUUCGGAGAUAUCAACUGACGCAAUCAAUUCAUCCAUCAUAUCUUCUUAUACUACUUUUGUUAACCCCCAUAGGGCAUAUCUGGAAGAGGUACAACCAAUUGUAUAUACCUCUGUUACUAUUGAAUAUAAUUCAAAAGGCUUAGGUUCCUCUGCCUCAAUUAUAACCACUGUUAACCUUUGUAAAUUGGGCGCCUUGUACCCUUAUUCAUCUUGCUUCUUUUACUUGCUGAAACUUGUACUUAUCUUCUUAAUUUCUCAGUGUCCUUUACCAUAAAGAUGGGAUAGACAUUCUUGCCUUGAGGCUUCUUAUUAAGAGGCUUACACCUUUCAGCACACACAUGAUCUGCUGAAGAUCUCAUAUUUACUUAUCAUAAGCAUUAUACAAAGUUGAGCUCCACUAAUCCAACAUUUCCACAGCUAUAGCUCUUAUCGAUCAUCUUUCUAAACGUAGGCAUUGUCUUAUUAUGAAUAAAAAUAGAAGCUCGGGACUUGAAUUCUUAUAAGUGAGCUCUACCACACGAUUUAGAGUAAGAAGAAAGAGUGACAGUCUUAAAUGCCCUGUAGCCUCCUGCUUAUAAGUGUGGUGCACGACACACCCAUAAACAAGACUCUACGACCCAAACCGAUGGGCCGCGACGGGCACCCGGUACCUUACUCAACCGAGUACCAAUGUAACGUAUCUUUAUUAUUACAUCAUCUUAUACACGUGACAUACGGGCCUAAUAGGCCAACAUAAUCAUUUAUAAUCUCAAAACAUAGGCCGGCAAGGCCGUACAAUCUUUCACGUACACGACAUAUGUCUACCAGCCUCUAAGAAUACAUAAAUGUCAUAUAGGUCGGGACAGAGUCCCGCCAUACCAAACAAUACACAUCUAAAUCAUACUAACCAAAUACGCAACUCCAAAGCAAAUGGGGCGCACCACCAUCUUUCGCUGAGCUAAUAGCCUACUUGGAGGGCUCUCGGCCGGUCUACCAGGGCCUGCAGGCAUGAAACGCAGCGUCCCCAGGCAAAAGGAACGUCAGUAUGAAAUAAUGUACUGAGUAUGUAAGGCAAUAUACUAAAAGCUGAAACUAAACUGAUAACAUAAUAACUGCAAGUAGUUGGAAGUCAAAGAUAAUCUGAAGAUAUGCUUACCUGCUGAUACUGACUCAAUUUUCUCAAUAUAGUAAGUAAAAUAGUUGUCCGACCCUAUAAGGCUCGGUAUACAUAUAUAUAUCUGCUCUGCCGUAGUAGGCUCGCUCAUAAGCGCUCGGCCAUACUAGGCUCUGUAUCUCGACCAACUGGGCUCGCUCAUAUGUGCUCGGCCACAGUAGGAUCGGUAUAUAACUUACAAUCUGAUCAGAGGUUGCCCAAUAGGGGCCUGCCCAUCGAUUAUAGCUCGAUGGUAAUAAAAAUACUUUUAAUACUGUAUAUAUGUAACUUCUCUGCUCUCUUGACUGGAAGAAGGAAAUACUGAACUGAAUAUGAAGUCCUGAUAAGAAGAAUGUGGUAAUUUACAAAACUAGGAAAAUAUUAACCUCCUGCAUGUAUUUAAAGUAGUUGCCUAUGAUAACACUUGCAGUACUAAUCAUAUAUGAGCCUUUUGUCAACUUAAAUUUCUUAAUCAUAUGACGAAGGCAGUAGUAUUUCCCAGGAGGUUGCACCUAAUUUUGUGCAUAAGACUAACUUAUAUUGGGUUCUUUAUUUGUUUCACUUCUUUCUAGGAAUAUCAUGGAUACCUUUAAUUGAAAAGAUUUUGUUGUACAUUCAAACAUGAAAUGCAAAUUAACAAUUGGUUUUAUGAACACGCUUCCCGUUAGUAGAGGGAAAAGUAUAUAUACAUGACUACUUGUUUAAAUAGACAAAUACACGUAAAUUCAGGGAUAUGAAUUUUUCUCUAUACCUCUACUUUACCCAUUAUUAAUGUUGACUCCUACAGUACAUUAUUAUGUCCUAUUGUUUCAUGGGAUUAAUUGCUCGCCAACUAUUUACACGUAAGAACUACAAGUAAGAUUUUAACUAGCUUAGAGAUCUGAUUGAUUAAAUAAUAUAUAAUAAUAACCUAUCUAAUUAUGCUAGUGUCAUAUGAAAAAGCUUUCAUUUAUCCUAAGUUGCUGCUAGUACCGAACCUUUCAUUAACCUUAAAAAUUGAACAUUUCCUUAUAUAUAUUGUACAACGUAAAACGGGUAGUAGGAUGUAUUGUUAUCAAACUCAAGUAAUUACGGGGUAAUGCCAAAUGAAAGAAGAACUUAGCCUUAACAUACCUGUUUCUGGAAUUUAUUUGAACAAUAUUGUUGUUGUUCUUUGAAUUUCCAAUCGAAUCUUGGCUAAAUAAUUUGGACGAAACAACUCUGUUCCAAGUUCUUGGAUUUUAAAAUCCACGACAGAAUUUUUUUGAUUAACCUAGGGAACUUUGGAUGAACUAGAAAUGCCUUUUGGCUUAAAUGCCAAAGUAUUGCUUCUGCUAUUCACGUUAGUUGGUAGAAUGAUGGCCUUUGAUCCUUUAAGUGAAAUGCUUUCUUUUGUCUCAUUUUGAUUUAAUAAAG
rnacentral:lncRNA from 1 species